GGAGUCCUACGGGAGGCAGCAGUAGGGAAUCUUCCACAAUGGACGAAAGUCUGAUGGAGCAACGCCGCGUGAGUGAAAAAGGGUUUCGGCUCGUAAAGCCCUGUUGGUAGUGAAGAAAGAUAGAGGUAGUAACUGGCCUUUAUUUGACGGUAAUUACUUAGAAAGUCACGGCUAACUACGUGCCAGCAGCCGCGGUAAUACGUAGGUGGCAAGCGUUGUCCGGAUUUAUUUGGCGUAAAGCGAGUGCAGGCGGUUCAAUUAGGCUGAUUUUUAAACCUUUGG
rnacentral:rRNA from 1 species